AGUGAACGCUGGCGGUAGGCCUAACACGUGCAAGUCGAACGGCAGCACAGUAAGAGCUUGCUCUUACGGGUGGCGAGUGGCGGACGGGUGAGGAAUACAUCGGAAUCUACUUUUUCGUGGGGGAUAACGUAGGGAAACUUACGCUAAUACCGCAUACGACCUACGGGUGAAAGCAGGGGAUCUUCGGACCUUGCGCGAUUGAAUGAGCCGAUGUCGGAUUAGCUAGUUGGCGGGGUAAAGGCCCACCAAGGCGACGAUCCGUAGCUGGUCUGAGAGGAUGAUCAGCCACACUGGAACUGAGACACGGUCCAGACUCCUACGGGAGGCAGCAGUGGGGAAUAUUGAACAAUGGGCGCAAGCCUGAUCCAGCCAUACCGCGUGGGUGAAGAAGGCCUUCGGGUUGUAAAGCCCUUUUGUUGGGAAAGAAAAGCAGCAGGUUAAUACCCCGCUGUUCUGACGGUACCCAAAGAAUAAGCACCGGCUAACUUCGUG
rnacentral:rRNA from 1 species